UACGUAGGGGGCAAGCGUUGUCCGGAUUUAUUGGGCGUAAAGCGCUCGCAGGUGGUCCGAUGCGUCGUGCGUGAAAGACCCCGGCUCAACUGGGGAGGGUCACGCGAUACUGAUCGACUGGAAGGCAGGAGAGGGUAGUGGAAUUCCCGGUGUAGUGGUGAAAUGCGUAGAUAUCGGGAGGAACACCAGUGGCGAAGGCGACUACCUGGCCUGUUCUUGACGCUGAGGCGCGAAAGCUAGGGGAGCAAACGGGG
rnacentral:rRNA from 1 species